UUUGGCAUUUCUCAUUUCUGGCUUUGGGGUUUGGUGUCGUGUCGUCGUCCCCUGCCCUCGCCCCUUAAAUUCGUUGGGGUUUGUUUGUUUGUUUUAAACGAGUAGGAGGGAAGCAGAAUAAAAUGUUCAGUGUUGUGUGCCGUGGUGAAAAUCCUCUGUGUUUUAAAAAGUUUAGGGCUUAAACUUGCCGAAGGAUUUGAAUACAUUGGCAUCUGUGAGUCGUCUACAGGAAAGUGCUGGAGGUUCAUUUUUGUUGGACUGGUUGUCAUUAUAAACGAAUUUAAAUGCCGUAUUGAGAUUCAGCUUAAGAGUAUUGAGAAAUUUUGGCUGGGUGAAAAUAGGGUUAGUACAUUUGGGUUUGAGGAAGGUAAGCUCUAGAGCUUUUUUCAUCUUCUGCCUGUAAAAGGGUAAAAGUUUCAAACAGAUAGUGUGGAGGUAGAAACAUGCAUGUAAGUGUAAAUAUUUGAGUACUGAAAGAUGAAAAUGUGCAUGCGAACCAGGCAAAUCUAAUAAUCUUGAUCAGAUCCUUACUUGCUGUAAAAUAACUUUAUGAAAUUAAAGGAGACUUGUUAAGAGGAUCUUUCAGGUUCUACAGUUAAUUGUCAUGAGAAAUCAGUUUUGUGGUCAUGGGACAGGUGUUUGUUUUACCAGACAGUUGUAUAUACUUGUAAGAUGUAAGAUGUUCUAUAUGGUAAAAUAAGCAAGAUGCUUUGGUGUUCUUGUUUUUAGACAUGACCUAUCAAGUGACUUCCUUUAAAUGUUUUUUUGUUUCUUUGUUUUUAUUCAGUAGAGAGCAUUUAAUUGCUGAGAAGUCUGGCUGUUUCUUUCCCUACAACAUGAUCUAUUUCAUCAGUCUCUCUCUAAAGAGUAAAAUAAAAGGUUUGGUGAUUGUGCACCCUCAGUUGCCAGUUGAAUUCUUUGUCAAGUGACAGCUAACAGGGAAGCCAGUAGUAAGGCCUGAAUUUUUUGGUGCCUUGGAGUUGUGCUGUGGUGUAUAUCUACUUCUGAGGCUGCUUUUGUUGUAGCUACUUUUGAUAGUAAUUCCUUCUUAACUUGCAAAGAAAUAUGUCCACUUGUAGGCCUUUGGUUGAGGUGUGUCUGAGUAAGCAAGAAACAGGCUUAGGUCACUCUUGGCAUUUUUAUGUAUUAAUGAGGAAACAGUGUCUGCAAUCUGCUAUUACAGUCACUUGCCCUAAAGGUCAAGAGGUCUUUGGUGCGCCAUUCGAAUUGUGGCACACAAACUGGCAAAAAGAACAGGAAAAGAGCUGUUUCAAACCUUAGAGCCGAGACUUCUGCUUUGAAAAAAGGCUGUGUCUAGGCUUCUUGAAACUUCUGUUUCACAGUUGUCCGUGAGCAGCUUGAUGCUUUCCAAUGGUCGCUAAUUUUUGGCUCUUUGAGGUAGGGGGCUAUCUUCCCCAUGUGUUAAAAAUAAAUGGGAGAGGGCAACCUGAGAUACAGAGGUGGCUCUCUUGAAGCAAGUGGGCAGCAGGUGGCAGAGCCAAAAAGAGAAGGCUGACCUCUGGACUUCUGUCCUAGUUUUUUGACACAAGUGUUAGAACUCAAAGUAUGACAAAAGUGAUUUAUUCUUCUUCCCCUCCCCUUCCCCUGAAUUGAGUCUCUUGGCUCUGACUCCUAAUUCCCUCCAGGUCUUUUUAUGUAGGUACUGUAAACUAGAAGAGCAUAAGUCUUGUUUACUGUGCUUCAGUGGAUCUGCAGGUACUGUGGGAACUGGAACUUCAAAUGGUGGUAUUAGCAAGUAAAAGCUGCCAAUUUAACCCCUACAAUACUGAUCAAGCCAGGAUAUUUCCCUUACUCAACAAGAGCUUACAGUAGAUUGUGCGUUUGGAUGCUCAAGAAUUCUGUUAAGGGGAAGAUCUAGAGAGAGAAGGCAGAGGAAAGAGGAAACGUCCUCCUGGAGAGCUGAGGGAGAAUGUCUGCUUAGGAACUGCAUGGGUCUCCACGAGUUUCCUAGACUAAAUUCCACAGCUUGAUUAGAAGUCUGCCCUGGAAUUCCUCACUGAGAUGAUUUUCUGAUUGUCUGCAGUAUGAAUUUGUAGAACUGUCAAAGUUAAGCAUUUGCUGCAGCAUCCUAGGAGUGGUCUACCUGUGAUACUGAGCAGUGCUUGAAAUGAAAGGAAGAUGUAUUUUACUCGGUAGCUUUUCUGUUUCAUAAAGUGACAGGCAAGCUUUGUCCAAGUCUGUCCUUCAUGAUUUCUGGUAGUGACCCAUAUUGGAACUUAAAUGGUUAAUCAGAUUAUUUUAAGAGAGGCACUUCAGGGUGGAGUCAUCCCUGUCAGAAACAUUGCUGCUUAUUCCUGAGAACUGUCUAAUUAUUGAACUUGUUCAGGCUGUGUACCUUCACAUUCCCAUUUUGUUAUGCCAGCAGCAGUGUCUCCAUUGUGGAGUCUUAUUUCUGUUUUUCUCAGGUUUCCUUUUUAUUUAACAGCAGUAUUCCAAUUAAUCAAGUUCAAUAAGCCAGUGUCCUUUACAAAGUAUUUGUAUUUUUCCUGGUCCUGUUCCGCAUGUUUUUUGAAAUGGUAUCAAAACAGUGGCCUUACCUAGAGGAGUGUGUUUAUUGAUUGUGACUUUAGGUAAGUGUCUUUCCAUGCAACUUGUAGUUUCAGUUUGGUACCUUAUCAGACUUUUGUCAUAGUAUUCCAAAGGGUAUGUUAGAAUUAUUCAAUCUUUUCCUUGUUACUGCAGGAGAAAGGACUGAUUUGGAUUGCUGUAAGCAUCUUGUAUUUUCUGUAUAAUCUCUUCAGAGAGAAACUGGAUAUUAAUAUAUCUCCACCCGUACACAAGACUACUAUUGAAAUUCUGUGUCCUCAAGUAGCACUUGCAGGUAGAACAGGGUUUGUGCCAGCUCUGAGCGGGAGCAGAUUUUGCCCCAAACAGGGGGCUCUGAUGUGCAGGGGUAUCCUUCACACAUUAACAAUUCAAUUCAGCUGGUAUGGCUGACUCCAGUAUACUCUUGCUUCUCUGUUGGAAAGAAGUAUCUUCUGCUUUCACUGAAAAAUACCCUGCUGCUAAAUCGGACUUAGAAGCUGCUAUGAAAGGCUUGAAAAGGUUGCUGUCUACAGAUAACUGCAAUUGAUGGGAGAAGACUUUAUUUUCCCUUCUAAACCAGAAUCGAUGAAAAGAUAUUACCUAUGAAGCUUUUGACAAGUUGGGUAUGUACAGGAAGUGAGUGUUUUAGAACGUGCAAUAGUUCUUCAAAGGUGUAAGACUUUAAUAUUAAAAGCACUCCUCGCUAAUUCCUAGACAGCUGAUAACCUUUUAAAAAGGUUAUUUGUACACAGAACUAACCACACAAUGAAUGAGGCGUUCAGUUCAAACCACAGAUUUUUUUUUUUUUAGAUCACUAGACAUUCUGUAGUGAGGUCAAGACCUUUGUCUUGCAGCAUAUGGAUACCAGGACUAAAGAAAAGCAUACACAGCUUUAUCUUCACAAUAUUUACUUUUCUAACUUGAAGUAGACAUACUUGGUGUUUUAAAAAAAGGCACUCAAGUAACUAUUUUCAAAUAUAACUUAGGCAGUAGAAAUUGAGAAGUUUAGUCUUGUUUUAUUUAGCAAACCAAAAUUAAGCAAACAAACAAACAAAAAUACUAGAGGAGUUAGGAUUUUAACUUCUCUUUGUAUGCCAAGACUGUAAUUGGAGAAAGAAUAUUGCAAAAAGGAGUAGGGGGAAACUUUUGUGUCUGGAAGACACAAGACCUUACUUUCUGACACCACAGCUUAAUUGUGCUGUGUGUGAAAGGCUGUAACCAGUACUUCAGGACUUUGCAGGCAGUUGUUCUGUCCCCUCCAUAAUGUAUGAAGUGCUCCUAAAAUAUCCUUGAAAGCCACAAUGGCGGGCUUCAAAUAUAAAUACUAGCUUAUGUUGAGGUUUUAAUGUACAGGAAAUUGCACUUAUUUGAAAUGGGUUACUCAUGUGAGUUAAUGAUACAAUAGUUUCUGAACUGGGACUGUUGUGGACCUCAGAAGAGCUCUCCCUGCACUUUGAUAAUUAAAAGAAGUUGUAUAAAAAGAAUUAUAUUCUUUUUACUCAGCAUGCUUCCUCAUGUUAACUGUUCAGGAGGUUUUUGUAAAAGACUGGAAGAUACCUGGUAAUUUUUGUAUGUUUCUUCAUCUUCACUAGUUUUUCAGAGACUAACUUAGAGUAGGGCUACUUUGUAACAGGGAUUUGCUGGUAUGUGAUGGUUGCCUUUGAUUUGUGUUGCCAGUGAAAUUUACUUUGUGUCAAAAUUGGAGUAGUGGUAGUUGGCCUUGCCAGAGAGCUUUCUUAUGCUACAAGAAGCAAGAGAAUGUACUGCUAAUCUUGAUCCCCCCCCCCCCCCCCUUGGGGGGCUGGGGGUGGAGGGGUGAUGGGUG